rnacentral:precursor_RNA from 11 species
UCGAAUGGCGGCUAACGGAGUAUCGGUUUCCAUCUUACCGGGCAGCAUUAGAUUGGCUUUUUAAACAAGCAUCGUGAUUUCUAAUACUGUCAGGUAAAGAUGUCCUCCGUGCUUGUGAAUCAUCUUGCCAUAAA